rnacentral:rRNA from 1 species
GAUGAACGCUGGCGGCGUGCCUAAUACAUGCAAGUCGAGCGAACAGACGAGGAGCUUGCUCCUCUGACGUUAGCGGCGGACGGGUGAGUAACACGUGGAUAACCUACCUAUAAGACUGGGAUAACUUCGGGAAACCGGAGCUAAUACCGGAUAAUAUAUUGAACCGCAUGGUUCAAUAGUGAAAGACGGGUUUGCUGUCACUUAUAGAUGGAUCCGCGCCGCAUUAGCUAGUUGGUAAGGUAACGGCUUACCAAGGCAACGAUGCGUAGCCGACCUGAGAGGGUGAUCGGCCACACUGGAACUGAGACACGGUCCAGACUCCUACGGGAGGCAGCAGUAGGGAAUCUUCCGCGAUGGGCGAAAGCUUGACGGAGCAACGCCGCGUGAGUGAUGAAGGUCUUCGGAUCGUAAAACUCUGUUAUUAGGGAAGAACAAAUGUGUAAGUAACUAUGCACGUCUUGACGGUACCUAAUCAGAAAGCCACGGCUAACUACGUG